UACGUAGGGUGCAAGCGUUAAUCGGAAUUACUGGGCGUAAAGCGUGCGCAGGCGGUUGUGCAAGACCGAUGUGAAAUCCCCGGGCUUAACCUGGGAAUGGCAUUGGUGACUGCACGGCUGGAGUGUGUCAGAGGGGGGUAGAAUUCCACGUGUAGCAGUGAAAUGCGUAGAGAUGUGGAGGAAUACCGAUGGCGAAGGCAGCCCCCUGGGCCAAUACUGACGCUCAUGCACGAAAGCGUGGGGAGCAAACAGG
rnacentral:rRNA from 1 species